GAUGAACGCUGGCGGCGUGCCUAAUACAUGCAAGUCGGGCGAACAGACGAGGAGCUUGCUCCUCUGACGUUAGCGGCGGACGGGUGAGUAACACGUGGAUAACCUACCUAUAAGACUGGGAUAACUUCGGGAAACCGGAGCUAAUACCGGAUAAUAUAUUGAACCGCAUGGUUCAAUAGUGAAAGACGGUUUUGCUGUCACUUAUAGAUGGAUCCGCGCCGCAUUAGCUAGUUGGUAAGGUAACGGCUUACCAAGGCGACGAUGCGUAGCCGACCUGAGAGGAUGAUCGGCCACACUGGAACUGAGACACGGUCCAGACUCCUACGGGAGGCAGCAGUAGGGAAUAUUCGACAAUGGGCGAAAGCCUGACGGAGCAAUGCCGCGUGAGUGAUGAAGGUCUUCGGAUCGUAAAACUCUGUUAUUAGGGAAGAAAAAAUGUAUAAGAAAAUAUGGACGUCUUGACGGUACCUAAUCAAAAAGCAACGGCUAACUACGUG
rnacentral:rRNA from 1 species